CCCCAGUCAAGAGGGAAGGUCUGGUCUGGACAGGGCGGUGAUCACAGUGAGGGUAUGGCCCGCACACGGUGGGACUAGUAGGGGCUUCCCAAAUUCUGGGCCUUAAGACGAGGUGGGUGUUAGGAUCCGAGAACAGAAGAGGACCCACAGGACAGUCCCCGCUUUCUGCGUGGCUGGAGGAUUUCAAAGCAGAGCUGUGGCUGUCUCUAUCGCCUCCCUACAACAUCGGAGCAAGAUCACUUCCUCACUCUCCCCCCACUGCAGACUUCAUUCAGGCCACCUGCAGUGAUCUGAGCGAAACGGAGCAGGAUUCAACUGCCCCCACUGCUCUAACAAGCAGGAGAGAAAACCAAGCCUUGACGAGGUUAAGGGAAUUUCUAAGGACAUACCACUGACUGGAUCUCACCUGAGGGCACGGUAUUCCCUGGAGCCCUUUCCCAUGGUCCUCCGGGCACACUGGCCUAGAUAUGGGGUGCCUGGCUAAACCUCAGCUCUCGUCAAAUCCAACUCUCUGCUCUCUCCUUGAAUCUGAGCUUGACGCUGAAUGUGACUGGGGAAGAAGAGAAGGAUGCUGAUGUGUCACACAGUUCUAUGAGGAGUGAUGUUUGGAGCUGCAGCAGCCAUCUUGCGACUAUGAGGAUAAAGCCAAGAGAGUCACGGAGAGGGUGAAGCAGAUCCCUGCAAUCCCUGAGCUGCUGAAACAACUUGGGAACUUAUCUUUCAGACUUUUUGGAGCAGACCUUCACUGCAGCUCUUCCAGCCCAUCCCAGUUACAGUAAGUCCCCUACAUAUGAACCUUCAAGCUGCGAGCUUUCAAAGAUGCGAUGAUGUGUUCCAUCAGCGUCAGGCGUGAGUGAGAUUGCAGAUCGCCCUCCGUCUCCUAUCGCUGACGAUCCUUCAGCUCCACCAUCUCCCCUCUCCUCCAGUCGUAACUCUUCUUGCCUGUUCACUCGAUGCCAGCCCCUAU